CCUUGACAGCAGGUCCGCGGUCUGCAGGACGAACAGAAGCGGACCAUGGACGGAGAAGCACGAUUGACGGUGGAGCAGCGGCGCUGCCUGCAGGUGAAGUGGCGUGAGGCAAUGCAGGUCGGUCGCAGGCAGCGGGAAACUGUAGGAUGAGGUUCUGUACCCACAUGCGCCUUCCCCCGGACUCCUCCUGCCCAACUCAAACCACGCACGCCUCUCCUCCUGCGUAACGAGCACGCCUAAUAUUAACCCCGCACACGGAGGUGCAGGUGCAGGCGCAUGCUAUACGCUUACCGGCCCCGUCUGCAGCGCUGGAGAGCAGCUGCGGCGCCGAGCGCCCCACGAACAGCAGCACGGGGGGGGAAUAGUGCAAGGUAACGCACGGAUGGUACCGACAGAGUCACAGCCAUCACCCGGAGCGGCUUGCCGGGGCGCAACUUCAACACCCAGUCAACCAGGGCACGGCAAUACUUGAUCUUGGCAUGGUGAUAGUGGCCCCUCAUCCCACUGAGUGACACUGCUCUGCGUCACCCUCUACCCAACCGGCCCAGUGCGCGAUGGCCCCGCUCUGCGGCCUGUCCCCUUAACUGCACGCCGAUCUUCACCAUGCUCACCAGCAGCAGCCGGCGGCAGCGAGCCUGCAGCAGGGGAGGCACAACGGAUCCCAGUGCGAAUGCAGCGUCAAGGUCGCGGGCAAACGACUACCCCAAUGUGCGUUGGAUUGUCCCGCGCAGCUGCUGCGUGUACAGGGUCACGGGUGGAUCCCACAGCAGCACAGGUGGAUCCCAGCGGCAGGAGUGUUCGCGCGCUCUUCACGGUAGCUCAAUCACAUACUAUAGGUGGAUCCCGUGACGGCCAGCGUGCUCGCAUGUCCAUUCACCAAAAGCUCCGGGGUGACGACACAACUCACGCCCCUAGCUUCGUAACGAGUCCUCCUGCCUCCAGCGACUACUACCUCUUACCUUGCUGCUACCUACUGCGACUGGUUGUCCUCGCUGGCUGCUAUCAGCAGGCCUUCUGAUGUCACAGCUCCUUCCAGAUACUUGCGCAUCAACUCGCGGUCAUACCCAGGCGAGACCCAGCCCGCCUGCGACACUAUGACUUCGCCAGGCUUCUGCCAGCCGGCGCUCACAGCGUGCUUGAUUGCGUGGUGUGCGUGAAAUGCCAGCAGGCGGCGGGCGGGCAGGUUGUCGCCUGCCACGUGCAGGUACUUUGUGUGCACGUCCUUCCACUUGUGGGUAUCCGACUUGGCGGUGUCGCCCGUUCCAAUGAACUGUUCCCGCGGGUUCAGCAGCAACGACUCCUUCAGCACGUAGAUCUGCAUUAUCAAGGGAUCGCACAACUUUCAAGUGCGGAAUAUGGCCCUUUUGCAAGCCAUCAAGACACGAUUCCUCGAAGCCAUCCGAGUGCGCUCCCCUGAGAGAAUGAUGAGUAGCCAUUAGUUUGAAGGGGCUGAUCCGGGGGCAUCAUACUCUUCAAUGACAGCUCCACAUUUCUGGAGGGACUGCUGCAAUGCGGCGAAUUGACUACCCACCCCUCACCUGCCCCGGAACCAGCAUUCUUGCGCACCUGAUAACACUCAACGCCGUUCUCGUUCUGGGGAAUGAUGGCCAGUUCAAACCGGUCGAAAGCGGUCUCCACUUCCGUGCGGACCAGGAUGAUGUUGCGCGGGUCGUGCACGGAGGUGACGCCCAGCAGCGGCUGCACAGCAUAGGAGUAAAUGGAGGAUUUCUUGUUUUGGUGUGUGUGCGUGUGUGAGCAGCUCUAAUCACAUAGACUGUUGAGGAAAGGACUGGCUCAAGAUUGAUAACAAGCGUCACCCGGACCCAUACGCGCAACAGCAAGAGGAUACAAACUCUGAAGCGCGGCGGGGGGAAGGGGAUUCAGUAAGCAACUAUAAAGUGGAUGCGAAGCGGCCCAAGGACAGGGCCGGGUGGAAGAGACCCAGUCUGGUUGGUAGCAUGCUCAUGUGUUAGCCCACUCCGGGCACAAUUAAUAAGAUAGUAUGCAAAUCCACACCGCAGCCAACCAGACUUACCAGGAAACCCCGGUUCCAGCCCUGACGGAAGAUAUGCCCCGCCUUGAUACUGGCGAUUGGCAUGUGCUCUCCGGUCACCAUGCACUGCACGGUCUUGGGGCUGGCGCUGUAGCCGUAGUACCUGAAGGCAUUCUCGCGGUAGGGCGUGCUGUCCUUGCUGGAUGUCGCUGUGAACUCGCCCUGCAUCAGGACUCGUACGAACUGGCUCUGGUCCCUGAUUUCCUCCCGGAUCUCCCCAAGCUCCAGCUUGAGCUGCUUGGCCUGCUCCCCAAGCUCCAGCUUGAGCUGCUCCAGCCGCUCGAGAACAACUGCAGGUGUUUAUUCCGGAGCAAACACAUGUUUAGUGAUUGGCGUACAAUCUAUGUGCGUUCACACCAUGCACAGAGCUGAAGGCAUGAGAGGUAAUAGCGCUUACUAGAAGCCCCAAGGAAGAGCGUGUGGAAGAGCAGUUCCUACACAGAUAGACCGGGGUAUUAUCGUACCCGGGGGAUUACCGUAUUGAGGCCAGUGCUCACUAGUUUCAUACGAUUUCAGGCUAUGCCCCCGGACUUAAGGUUUAUGCACCGUGUUCGCAAUUACUGAGGGGAUAAACGGGGGGUCCGGCACUAGGUUAGCACCCACGGGUUUUGGACAUGCGUGGCCGCGGUGGUCGACAUGUCCGCGACCGAGGUAGCCCCAAAAACGUCGCCAAAAUGCGCAAUAAUAAUCAUGUAUAUGUUACAUUGGUAAUACAUAGCAGCUCAGGGAGUUCAACAAGCUUGCUGCGUUGCGACGUUCAAUGUCUCUCGAAAUGCACUUGCCGUGGACCUGAAAGAUAAAAUGUAAGCGUUUACGAGGCUUUCGGUAUAUGUUUAUGAAUACAAAAUUAUGGUGCAGCGCAAAAGCGGCUGCGUGCACGGCCGGCACGGUUCGCAGGCGGGGGAUCGCAGCUCGAAGCAGCACACGGCCGUCGGCUCAACGACCAGAGCUCGCAGACAUGCCAUAUAUUGUAUUGGAAGCAUGUGCGCCGGCGGGCGCAGUCAGCGGCGGGCAUUUGGGAGCUGUUCCGAGUCCAUACGAUAAUACCCCGGUUUUCCAGAAAGUGGCGUAAUGGACCCCCUGCGCGCGGACCCACGCACAUGUGCUAUGUUGCUAGCGCGCCCCCCCCCACUGUGCCAACCUCUUCCAUAUAUCCCUAUGGUCGUAUGACCCGGUUUACAUGACCAACAUGCUCUUGGGUCGGCACCAUGGGUCGGUACCAUGCUCUAAAAACAUACGAUAAUACCCCGGUCUACCUGUACUGACGUAUUAAUGAGCCAGUGGGUAAGCAGAAAGGAUACAUCAAGAUAGCAGUUGAAGAUUGCAGACUAACACUACAGUACCCCAAUGCGCUUUCAGUCUAAUCAUAGGGCAGCUGUGCCCUUCAGUGGCCGAGGUGGAUCCCCGCGACGGCCAGCGUACUAUGCCGUGCUCUUCGCGAUGGCCCGCCCAUAGGAUGCUAAGGCUGGUGCUAAGGCGCGGCGCCUAGACCCGAGGCCAGAAUACAAACUCACCGUCCCCUGGCGCGCUCCCUACGCCCAAGCCAGUCGCCGCGCCUGCAUCACAUGAAAGCGACCGAACCACAGAUGCAAACUAAGUGAAGAUAUGAACAAAAGGCAUGCGCAGGUUGGAACGGCGCUGCACGUGCACGAUGCAGGCUGGUGAACGGGGAGGGACAGCGUGCACACCCAACCUCACUGUGCACCACCCCCGUCCAGCGGCCACCCUCUGAGCCGCGCCGUGUCGUGAUCAUCCGCUACCCUGUGCGCAUCGUCCCACUUACCAGCUUGUGCUGUGCCCUGGCCAGCCGCCGCACCUGCACAACGUGAAAGUGAUCACAAGGCAAUGCAGGCAGUCAGCAUCGCCAGGGCGGAACGAAUCACGCCCCGCCAACAAGGCCAGAGCCCGAGGGCCGUGAGGCUCCGGCGAAUGGCUGGCUUCGCCUAGGCUCUGAGACUUUGUGCCCAGGCGGAGCCAGCCUCUUGAACUACCCUGGUACGCAUCCCCUGUCACCUGGCUCUCCGCAAAUUUCUUCGACCGAACCCGACCCAAACCAUCGUUGAGGCUCGUCCCGCACCCGUCUCCGAUGCCGCUCCGCGUCCGGGGCCUUGCCCCAUGCCCGCUAAUCCGCUCCCGGAGGACUUGAAGGUCAGAACUUCGAUUACGCAAGGCUUGAAGCUAUUUGGAGGAAGGUUUCGUGGAAAGGACACGGACCAGGAUGGUGGCCUCGCCUCUCACUCACCGGCACUGGUCUGGCACCGCCACGUCCCACCCGCAGCCCCAACAACUACCAAUGUGCCGAUCCCACCCUAAAGCCUCUGAGAGAUGCUCACCAGCAGCAGCCGGCAGCGAGCCUGUAGGGGGAGGUGCACGCCAUGGGAGCGGUCGGGGGACGCGUUAACAUAACAAGUUGCAUGCCGCUGCAGGUUUCAGGCGCGCGAUCUUGACCUAGACAAAAUGCCAACCACACAAUAAACAUGAUGAACUUGUUUGGGCUCCACACAUACCGCGCGCUUCGAGAAGCAUGAGCUCCUUCUUCCGUAGCAUGAGCUCCUUCUCCCGGAAGUAGCGCUUGUCCUCGGCAUCCUUCGCCGACUCCGCUUGGGCCGACACCCGGGCUAUUUCCGCUCCUAUGUCGUUAAGUUCCUGUUGCAGUUUCUCUCCUUCCUCCACUUUCUCUCCUUCCUCCUUUUGCCAAGGUCCUUGAGGUGACAGGAGUGGGUGGGAUACAGCCAUAACGCUAAGUAUAAGUCAGGGCCGAGCGAUUAAAAUGUUGCUCACGGACGACACGGUCUCGGCCAUGGCGACCUCGAUGGAACCUUAUCUAUGCUGCAGCCAGUGUUUGCAAAUGCAUGGAAUGGUUAGGACUUGUCUGGAAGGGACAAGGAAGCACCAGGAAGCGGACCCGACCGCAACCCAAAUCGGUGGCAGAUGGGGCCUAAGCGAUGGGCCCAUCGGGCCCGGUUCAACAGUUUGGCCAAGUCAGGAGCAAUUUUUCGAUAGCGUGGCACCUUCGCGCGAUUUUGGCAAAUUACUUGUCAGAAACAACGAUUUCGCUUAUCAUAAGGAUUUCCCGUAGCCCGGCUCAAAAAGAUAGUUCUUUGAUUCUAGCGCCGAUCGAUAAGGUUGAGAUAAGCAACUGCUCAUCAGCCGUGGCCUGGAGGAAACAUAUUGAAAGAAGCGUUGUCUAGCGUUACCGUGGACCUGCGUGGUCAAGACCUCCCUUAAUGCCGGCCAUAACUUGCCAUUCAUAUAAUAUGAACAUAGUACAUUUACAUAUUUGAAGAAUAUAAUGAGGGAACAAAACGGCUGAGCGAAUUGCUAGGUUUGGACGUGGCAUCCGUGCCUUCCCCUCGCAGCUUAUGGAGGUGCUAACAAGCUGCGGGAUACAUGGGCUGUUGGUGUAUCCCAGUAAGUGCUUGCGGUCUGUGAACGCCUAGGCUUGGGCACGCGGGUACCACUCCGGCAAGUCCCUAGGGACUGCGUGUGUCCAAUGCCCUAGACUGCCGAAAUGUCAUCAUGUGACAUAUAAUAAGGUCCCUGAAUGAUUUCCGGGCACAAACUCGAGCGGGAGCCGAAGUCGAAAUGCUAAAUGUCGCGCUCGCCAGGACUUACUGGAAUUCGCCCUACGCAGUCCGGAUGACAUCUCUCGGUGAACCUUAGUCGACGGCACUAGAUACAGGCCCAAAAUACCGCCUAUGCGAGAUAUGGGCUCUGGUCAAUUUCGCGACUUGAGCCCUGACCAACAUGUUUUGUCCUCUGCCGAGCGCUAAUGCCCACUUAUGAUGUAAGUUAUGUACCUACAAAAAGGCGGCGUCUAAAUACUGCGGUAGGAUUUGCCUCGGGCGACUCCCAGAGCCCCCCAAACGUGUGGGUUUGGCUAGGAGCAUGCACCCCCCCGGACAAUUGUGCACAUAACUUUUUGAUGCCUAUUCUUUUUACAGUGGCGAUUGCGUAUCCUGCAUACACUGUACGUACUCUAUCCAUCACGCUAUCACGCUUUUAGUUUUCACGACGAAAAUAUUUGCGUGUCCCACUGCACACCCCAUGCACGGCUGCAGCCGUACGGCCUUUCAGGUCGCCUCCUCGUAGCUCCGCACCAUAGUAGCCGUAUACUACACAACGAGACGAAGCCGUAGGUAUGCUGGCGGCCUGGUCAGAUGAUACCUAUUGGGUCUACCAGGCUGUCAAAGUUUGGACACAGCAAAUGACCAGAGUGGUACCCGCGUGGGCUUGGGCUUUGUGGCCUCAUGGUAGGUGCCUAAUGGUAGGUGCCUCAUGGAAGGUGUUAACAAUUACAGUGCCCAUAAGUUAUGGGGGGAAUAAGGUGUGCGAGAUUGAGCACUGCGGCGGUGCCGCCGACCCACCGCCGUGAUGCAGAACAAAGUUGUAACCGGCGGCACUGUUAUCCUCAUUCGCUCCUGCCUCACCAUUCGCCACAGGCCCACGGGGGCCAAACAUUCAACAUCUCUGUUGUAUUUCUCAACUCCUCUGGAGUUUUUUGGGCUGAGUUCCCCGAGCGCAGCGAGACAGACCUGCUUCUGGAGGGAAUUCCGUGCCGUAGGCUUUGGUGUUGAGUGCCGCGUGCUUGAGGGCGCUCUCGCCAGUCCGUAAGUGACUGGUAGGCUGCAGCAGCCGUGUGUUGGGCCUGGGUCAGAGGCAGACCCACAGCUGUAACAUACAAUGGGCCGUAUGAGGGAUAAGCGGGUGUGGGUGCUGCAGGCAGGCAGGCGUUUACAAGCACCAAGCCUCUUUUUCAGCACCAACUUUCACCCCUUAGCCCAAAAUGGCACUGACAAGCUGGUGAUCGACAGCGACUCGUUUGUGCAGUAGUGUGCUGCGUGCCACUAGUACCGUAGUACGUCGUGACGCGUCACAGAUCCCAUCCAGAUUGCACCGCCUGCGCCAUCCUCAAGAAUGCAAUGCUGCUGGCCGCUGGGCGGGGCGCCGGCGGGCCGAGCCCAGGACCCGCCGUUGCGCACUUAUUGAAUGCGGCCUUCGCGGCGUAUUAGUAUUUGCUACGUAUUAGUAUUUGCUACGUAUUAGUAUUUGCUACAUUUAACUUAAAUGCCGGGUAGCGACUCGGACUCGGACUACGAGCCUGCCUUGAGCCGCCGCAAGGCUGACGCAAAGCGCAAGCGCGACCGCCGACAGCAGCUGUCCCCCGAGGCGCGCAGGCCCGAGCUUGACUCACACGCUCAGCUGCUUUGUAAGACCCACGGAGGAGAAACUGUGCCUGCCUGUGUCCCGUUGGAUAGGGGGGACUAUGACAGCCAGAGGGUGGAAUGGCAGCGCAGAGGUACUGCCUGCGUCGGCAAAAAGUAUCAUACUGGCGCAAACUGCGACUGCUACGUAUUAGUAUUUGCUAUUGCCUAUUGCAUGUAAAUAGGUGGCAGGGAAAAUUCGGGCGGAGCGAGAAGUGCCUUCUUGCGAGAAUCGACAAUUGACUUCUGCGAGGUCGCGCGAAAAGCAAGUCAAGCCCGCGUUAAUUGCAUCUAUACUUCAAAAUAUGUUGACGGCAAUUUGCGUGGGGAACCAUAGCGCGAGCUUUCGCCGACUUGCUAGGAAAUGCCUGUCGCCGGUCUGAAUGCUACGGGUGGUCGCUCUCGCCCCGCGCCUGGCCCGAGGAGUGUCGGACGUCGGGUAGUUCUUGGGGCAAGGUUGAGGUGUAGAAAAUGCCAGGGACUGGCGGCAAGGGAGUCCUUGACUGGCGUGGGUGGCGUGUGGGAUCCAGACACGCGUGGCUUGGGCUGGCCCAGGUGUUCCCCUGAGUUCUGAGCCGGAGCCCGUGCAGCAUCGGCAUGGGCCCUGAAGCUCGUUUGGUUGCAGAAGUCAACCAGCCUAUGGCUUUAUUGGGGCCCAUGUAUUCCUAGGGGCUCAGCCCAUUUUCCAGCUGUACAAAGCUGACACCCCUUGUUUAUGGACUCCUCGCACUUGUGGGUUGCCGCGGCCUUUGCAACUGGAUAGUGGGCCAACAGGGUACUGGCCCGCCAAGCAUGCAGGGCGGCCGGGCGCACAGGCGGUGCUCGUGUUGGCUUGCCCCUUGCCCCUUCGGAUGGAGCCCUUGCGGUCGCAUCGGGGCCUUUUUGGGCUGAGCCCCCUGAGCGAAGCGAUCCAGGGGGGGCGAAGCCCCCCAGGAUUGCCCCUGUCCGUGCCUGCCUGCCUGCCUGCCUGCCUGCCUGCCUGCCUGCGUUGACAAAAAGUGCCAAACUGGUGCAAACCGCGAGCGCCACGUAUUAUAAAUUGCUAUUCCCUAUUGUAAAAAAAUAGGCGGCAGGGAAAACUCGGCUGGAGCGAGAAGCGACCUCGCGAGUCCAUGGACUUCUUAACUUUCGCGAGGUCGCGAGGUCGCAAGGAAAGCAGCCCUGUCACGCGGAUUCCACAAAGGAAGAGCUGCCAACUUCAAACUUUCUGCCUGGAAGUUGUCAUUCCGUUUGGUGGCUCGCGUGCCCGCGACGUCCAAGUGUGCCAACACUGCGGGACUGUGUGGGUAAGUGGGAUGGCAGGUUUGGGGCAGGUUUGGGUCGGCAGGUCGGUUUGGAGAUGAUGACACGGGAUGACACGGGAUGACACGGGAUGACACAGGGCGGUUUGGAGAUGAUACGGGGUGACACACGGGAUGACACAUGGGAUGACACACGCCCUGUUUGCAUGUUGAACUGCAGGGCCGCGACGCCAACUCGGCUACAAACAUGCGGCAUGCGGCGGUGGCGGUGGCGGUGGCGGUGGCGGCGGUGCAGGGCCUGGAGACGGCGGUGGCGGCGGCGGUGGCACCGCGCCUACCGGCGGCAACAGCAGCGGCCACGGCGUUGGGCCCGGUGGUGGUGGCGGCACGGGCGGCCCUGGGCCCAGCGGCAGUGGCGGCGCGCAUGUUCGGAGCAGAGGGGGCGGGCAAGGCCACGUGGAGGAGGACAGCGCGGCGCCGCCUUCAAAGCGGCGCCGGCGCGCAGGUUGAGACCUGCCGGUGUUGUCUGGUUAGCGACCUGUGCUGACGAGGAUGGCGUAGCAGGCAAUCGGCUGCAGCGGCAGGGGUGUUGAGAGGUUUUCCUUGCUGUCUGGUUGGCCUGCUACCUGCUGCACUAGUGCUUGAUAGCUGGGCGCGACUGGGCACAUAUGGCGGGCGGUGCCUGUACAAACCGACCCCGGCUAUGUCCGGGAGAUGAGGCUAGUAUCGGAACCUUCGGCCUCAGACGGAGGACGUGGCGUGGCGGCACAGCCCACUUUUCCCUUGCAAGGGAGAGCCACCUUCUCUUGUCAGUUACCUUCAGAGCCCUGCAGAGCCCUUCAGAGCGAUUCAGAGCCCUGCAGAGCGAUUCAGAGCCCUUCAGAGCGCUUUAGAGCCCUCCAGAGCCCUGCAGAGCCCUCCAGAGCGCUUUAGAGCCCUCCAGAGCCCUUCAGAGCCCUCCAAAGCCCUCCAGAGGCCUGUGCAGAUCCCUCCAGAGACAGAGCGGCUCUGAAACAGCCCGUGUCAGGGGUGCCAGACCACCCAGAAAGUAGCACCCAGAAAUAGAUCUUCCGGGGUUAGGCCACCUGGGCCACCGCCACUGGCGAGAAGAGCUUUGCCACGCUCUCACCCACGGCACCCAGGGCCAAAAAUAUGCCUUUUUUAGCGUGGUGGGGGGGAGCUCCGCCCUCUGAUGAGGCAUUUGCAGGGUUGGACUUCAUGCUGUCGCUGCAUCAGGGGCAGCAUGCUGAGAACAUGCGCGUGGUGAGGGGUUCAAGCCUGGUGACCGCGUACGAUUGUUGGAGGGCACGGAGCUGUUCGACAAGGAGGUGGCCACCUAUUCACAGGACAUUUUUACACCGUGACUCGGCAGAAGGGCUAUAGGUUCGCCAUGGAGGGCAAGCGACGCCUGCAUAGCCCGUCGGAAAUGCUGUUGGUUCGUAAAGUGACUACAGGGUAGCAGGCGGGGCGCCAGGCAGAGGCAGCACAGGAGCAGCGCCAGGUGCGGCGUGUUGCGCGUGCUCUUGCCACAACUCAGCAGCAGGCUACACGUGCUAUUGAAGCUCAAGAGGCACCACCAGCUGCGCCUGCAAACAAGCCUGCGGGCACGCGUGGCGAAACACACUUCGAAGUGUCGCGCUUCGAGGAUAGCAAAUAUGUAAAGGUCAAUCGUGCAUGUCUCCCAAUAUCCUAGUAUCGAAGACCCUGACCCCUGGGACCUCUCAUUCUUAACCUUCUCAGCAGACAUGGCGCACCUGGCAGCCGCGGGCUGCAGCCCCAGCUGAUCCCGCGCAUUGAAAUUCUACGCCACAGAGUUGUAUACGCGUUGGCGCCGCUGCAUGUUGCGUGCCUGGCUCAUACGCUACCAUAUGUAUCUGAGAUGCCUAUUCGGGGGUUGUGCAAGCUUCCGUGUGUGUCCUGACCCGAAUGCGCAUUUGUUUUGUCGCGUUGACACCACAUAUUGUUAUGAGACGCAGCCCAUCCUACUUAUGCAGGCUCCAGUAGGACAUUUCCGUUAUCCCGGCGACUUAGCACGAGGCCGACGUCUCACCGGCAGCAGUAGCGCCAAGCAGAGUGUUAAGAUCCGCCCGCGACCAGAUAAUGGCUCCAUCUAGUCUAUAUGAUUACAUGGAGGGUUCCUGGCGCGCCAGGCGCUCCAAAAAGGGAAAGGUUGCAGAAUUGCUCGGUGAAUUUCAAACGUCGGUCAAAGGCCAGUAAACUAGUCGCCCGGCGCGCCAGGGGUCUUCUAUGGGGUACUCCUUAUUGGUCUAUGCAAAGAAAUCGGGCCGGGGCCUGGUCGCAACUGGGAAAUGGGGGCGGUUGCCGACCGUUACCGAUCACAUGGGCCGAGUUGGCCACCCCGCACCCCUGGUUUUUGGUGAGAUUUAAAGGAUUUCCC
rnacentral:lncRNA from 1 species